rnacentral:tRNA from 1 species
GAACGUAUGGCUUAGUUGGUUAGAGCGCUGGAUGGCUUUCAAGAGACACGGGUUCGAAUCCCGCUACGUUCA